AAAUUUUAAGACCCUACUCUUUCUCUGGAACAACCAACAGCUUCUCCUCUCUCACGUUUCUUCCUCCUUCCUUGCACCCAUAUCCAUUUCUGCAAAACUAAUCCAUAUAAUCUCCUCUCCAGAAAACUUAUAGGACCUCCAAACUCCAAGAGCAUAAUUCUGAGUUGUUGAAUUCCUCUCUUCCAUCCGGUAAUUAGUUUCUUCAUUUUUCCCCUCUUCUAAUUUAGAUGAUGAUCAUGCAAAUGGAUACCUUGCAUGUGAUUACCCAACAUCUCUCUUCAAUACUUUCGUUCUUAAAUUUAUUAGGGAAACUAAUUCCAUCUUCAAUUUUGGGGAUUUAUAGGUGUGUCAAGUUCUAAGGUACUUUCGGGGUAGUCUCUAAUUAGCGGUGCUGUGCUAAAAUUCCCAGGUAAGGGAAGCUGGAUUCUAACUUCUUGUUUGAAAAUUUACUCUGUUUUUAGUUUGAUAUUCAAGUAGAAUUAUUAAAAUCUGAUGUAGGUAUAAAUUGGGUGAAAAGUUUCGUUAAUUUGGACUGAAUUGUAAAAGAGCAUGUUCUGAAAUUUAUGUUUUAUGAUGUGUGUUUGGUAUGAACUGAUCUGCUACUAUUUGUGAACUGUAUGAUUAUGUGGAUUUCAUUGUUGAGGGUUGAGAAUUUAGUUUAUGCAGGUUGUAAGUAAAAUGACUAAGUUAAUUUUUAGCGUUUGAGUUAAAAAUAAGGAACUUAGGUAGUGAAUUUUAAAAAUAGGGAUCCNGGUCUGAAAUAGGUGUUUGGGAUAGCUUAGUAAAGUCAAUUGUGACUUAUAGGAAGUGUAUAAUUGGCCUAAAAUGGUUUCUAAGUGGUAGAAUUCAGAUUGAGCUCUUAGGUGAAUCAUAUUAGAGUUUUAGAUCCAAUUUCCUUGCAUAUCUCUUAGAGUUUAUAGUUAGGAUGGUGUGUGAGACUUCAAACAAGUUAGAUUCAACUUGUAUUUCGAGUUAGGAGUGUCCAAAGUUCACCAAAAGGCCUAAAACGAAACUUAGGGGUGUGAGUUCAUCCAAAACUGCAAAUUCUACAGAAAAAUCUGCAGAGUUCACGCCUGGGCGCCCUUGAAGGGCGCUGGGCGCCCUUUGAUUCGGCAUUUGCCAGAAAUAUGGCGCCCGGGCGCCCCUAAAGGGCGCCGGGCGCCCUUUUCUGCUGUUGCUUUUAUUUUUGAUAGUUUGUGGGGUUCCGGACAUCUGUUUUGGAUGUUUUUUAGGUCAUUAUGGGGGUUUUGACCCUUCCGGAGCCAUUGGUGAGGGUUUCCAAGCUAUUUGAAUUACUUAAGUAUAGGUAAUUAUAGUUGAUAAAGAAAUUGGUAUUAAUAAAUGAUGUUUCUGUGAAAACAUGUAAUGUAUGAAUUAUUUCUAGCAUUGUAUGAUUCUUUUUAGGAUUGUAUGAGUUAAUUAUGUAGGAUUUGCAUGAAAAUAAAGUAAUAUAACAUCUUUAUGUAUAAAAUUGAGAAUUUAAAGUCAAUGAAGUUGGUAUGGUAUGAAUUAUGAUUCGAAGAGUUAAGUAUCACCUCUAGGUGAGAUCUAAGUUAAGUUUCUGGAAUGAAUAUAGGAAGCUCAAUCUUGGGUGUCUCCAUUUUAUAUGGGCCAAGAAUGAGUGAUUCAAGUUAAGUUCUGGAAUGAAUAUAGGUAGCUUAGUUUUGGGGGUUGCCCUUAAUGCUCUAAUGACUAUUCAAUCUCACUUAGAGAAUAUUAGUUCAUGUGGUGAAGAGUAGUAAGGGGUCCUAGUCUUGGUUGUCUCCAUUGUAUAUGGGCCAAGGUGAGUGAUAACGGACUAACCUUGUGUGUGGUAGGGUGAAACCCAUUGGCAAUGGCUUUGCAAAGCAGUAGAGGCCACCACAAGUGCAUAACCCGCCAUAGCUCAAUAUUCAUUCCAGGUCUGGACGAGUCUAAGUCUAACACCACUUAAUACAACUCUAAUUUAUAACUCGGUAAAAUUGUACUUCUGUGAUUGUAUUGCUUGUAUGUUUCUUUUUAUUUUAGUAGCUCUUAUAUCACUUGUAUUAUUUUUGAAAUCUAGCUUACCCUUGCGUGUGUGUUGCUUGUUUUGUCUGUGUUUGUUUUCUUUUGCAAUGAUCAUCCUAAUUGGAUGUGAGCAGAGAUUGCAGAGGCCCCUUUGGAGCAGGUUUUAGACGUAGUUGAUGCUGCCAAGACUCCAGACACUGCUAAGUAGUUUAGGAUGUCUAAGUUCAUGUGUAUAUAUAUAUGUAUAGUUUAGUCUUUUCUUUUUUACUUCCUUUUUGAAAGACUCUAUAACUACAUGUAGAGCUUUUAUCUUUCUCAUAUAUUAUUGGAUGACUGUAUUUUGUAUAUACUUCAUCUGCCACUACUCUUAACUGCUUUCUAGUAUUAUAAUAUGUUGCAUUCCACAUGAUAUAGAUAUACUUAUAUUUUUGGGAUGUUACAGUUUAAAACUAAAAUAAAACACAUUAAAAAUUUGUGACAGGACUAAAUGUUAAUAUUUUUUUCUGUUGUAUUUUUUCAUGUAAAUCUUUUUGAAAUUGAGAACUUUCUCAUCAUAAUCAAAGACUUAACCUUUUAGAGUGUCAUGAUUAGGAUCAGAACGUCG
rnacentral:lncRNA from 1 species